rnacentral:rRNA from 1 species
UACGUAGGGGGCAAGCGUUGUCCGGAAUUAUUGGGCGUAAAGCGCGCGCAGGCGGUUGAUUAAGUCUGAUGUAUAACUCUGAGGCUCAACCUUGGAUCGCAUUGGAAACUGAUGAACUGGAGUGUAGGAGAGGAAAGUGGAAUUCCACGUGUAGCGGUGAAAUGCGUAGAGAUGUGGAGGAACACCAGUGGCGAAGGCGACUUUCUGGCCUAUAACUGACGCUGAGGCGCGAAAGCGUGGGGAGCAAACAGG